GCUCACCAAGAACUCAAGUGCUCAUUCAAUAAAACACACACAGCUGAAGGGAAACAGUUAAGAGCCCUGGGUCUGGAGCAAAACUGCUGAGGUUUGAGGCCCCGUUUUGCUGCUCACUAGCUACAUGAUCUUGGGCAAGUUAUUUAAGCUCUCUGAGCUUCAGUUUCUUCCUCUGCAGAAUGGGGAUGAAAGUGGACUACUACCUCAUGGCAUGUUUUGAGGAUGAAAUGAGCUAAUAAACACAGUCUUCAGCCCUACAUUAGGAUGGCCUAAGGAAAACAAGAAGACUGAAUGAUAUUCCCUGCUGACUUAUAUAAGUUAUUAGUCUUCUAGAAGGAUCACAAGGAACCAGCAUCAAAGAAAUGGAAUCCAGCUAAUUCCCCCAAGAAACUGAAGUUUUCGGGACAUGACUUGUGAAAGGCAAACAUAAGCUGACAUCUUUUCACACUGAACAGCAAGAGCCAAAGUGUAUCCGAAAAGCCAUUGUCAAAACAAGGAGUGAGAACAGCUGGGGUCAAGACCUAAUGAAGGGCAUCACUCAGCCUCUUUGAGCCUCGGAUUCCUCAUUUGUAAAGUGGGCAUAAUAAUACCUCACAGGGUAGUUAUGAGGGCAAAUGAGAUAAUGGACACGAAGGCACCUGUACACUCCACGGUGCUAUCAGAAUAUUGACUAUUAGUGCUUUCAUCACGCGGCUCCAUCCAAACCCCUGCUUUCCCUCACUCCAACAGGCUUUUACUCUGUCACCCAUGCUGGAGUGCAGUGGUGCAAUCUUGGCUCACUGAAACCUCUGCCUCCUGGAUUCAAGCGAUCCUCCCACCUCAGCCUCCCGAGUAGCUGGGACUACAGGCAACCUGGCGGUUCCCCGCUCCAGGGAGGUCACCCUCUUGAUGCUGAAUUUAGCACGGACACCUGAUGGGCACAGUGCACUGCAGCCCAGAGCUCCUGAGCUCAAGCCAUCCUCCUGCCUCAGCCUCCAAGUAGCCAGGACCACAGGCACGCACCCUGAGGAGGAAGAAAUACCAGGUGCGCAUGCUCCAAGAAAAAGCCAUCUGAGGACGCGGCAAGAAGGCCGCCAUCUACAAGCCAAGGAGAGGGGCCUCAGGAGAAAUCGAACCUGUCACACCUUGAUCUUGGACUUCCAGCCUUCAGAACUGUGAGAAAGUAAAUUUCUGUGUUCAAGCUACCAGGUCUGUGGGAUUUUUUAUGGCAGCCCUAGCAGACUAAGACAGGCAUCAAUGGUUCCAAUGUUUUCAUUUUUUUUCCGGUAAGCAGACCGAAGCCCAGAGAGAUGAAGCAAUUUGCCCAAAGUCACAUACCAAGUUAACUGAAGAGUUGGGGUUAGAAUCCAGCUCUUGUGACUUCUCUCUUUUCAGUUUCCCUUCCCACUCCCCCCACUGAAAAGCUUUUGAGUGACUCUUUUAGAAAUCCCGGUUCUGUAUAUGAAGCAGAAUUGAGCACAGCUGCUCUAAUGAAGGGCUCAGAGCUCCCAGGCUUUUCUCUCUCCCCUGCCCCUUUUCCCUGUUGCACCUCUGCAGUGUCCUGAGGGUUGAUGGAAUCUAGUUUGAAAGCUAUUGCUCUACCUCACUGCCUCCUGAAUGCAAUGUCACAAAUUUUCCCAACUUGCCAUUUCUCUCACACUGACAUAAAGCAUUAGAAACCUGUUGUGAAGUAGGAAAGCUAACUGGGUCAGUAGCUGAUAAGAUAAUCUGGCCUAGGGGAUAGAUGAUUAGGAUUUCAGAGAAGGAAAGGUCACCCAAUUGAUUUGACUCUGUCCUGGGGCGAUGAUAUGGUGAAGAUUUCUACAGAUGCAGCAGAAACAUCCGGAAACCAGGUGUGUCCCAGCUCUGGUCUGGGAACCAUUUCAUAAAUUGGCAAAUAUCCAGGAUAUACACAUGGCUAAUUCUGAGGUGUACUGAAGUUUCAAUAAAGCUACUUUGGUAAUGACUAGGAGAAGAAAAUCCUAUGGCUGGACUUCAUUAAUGUUGUAUGGCCAAGGACAGUGUUUCUCUAAUUAUGGCCUGUGAACCUCCCUGGAUCUCGAUCACCUGCAUAUUUGGGAAUAUGCAGGUUCCAGGGUCCCACCUGAAACUACAGAAUCAGUAUUGAGAUCCCAGGUGAUUCUCAUGUACACUCAAGUGUAAGAUUAUUAGCACCUGGACUUUGGAAGCAGCCAGAUAAAAGUUUGGAUCCUGGGUUGGCUACUUCCUAGAUGUGGCCAAGUCAUUUUACUUGCCAUGCUUUUGCUUUUCUUGUCUGUAAAGUGGACAUGAUACCUAUUUUACAGGGUGGUUUUGAGGAAUAAGGUCAGCAUUAAACAUUUAUCCUCUUUAGGGAGACAGAGAGAGGAGAUGAAAUAGAGUAGAAUUGAGAAAAGCAGUUUCUUAGACCUCCCUGUGAAGUUUUUCUUAUUUCAACAAAUAAUAAAAUAAAAAAUUCAUACACUUUCUUAGUGCUUGUUUGGACUUAAGAAUUUAAAAAUAACUUGAGAGUUUUAUAGGCAUCAAGGAUGAUGUCUGAGUGCUGGAAAUACUUGACCUUUGGCUGGAAGGUGGAGUGAAGGUGCCAGCGGACUGAACCCUGGGAGACUGUCUUCUGUUUUAUGAAUGUGGUCAUGCUCUGAGUUAAAUGAUGUCCCUGGUAAGGACAUCUCCCAGAAAAGCUUAGAAAUCAGCUGUAAUCCUUGUUCCCUGCAAGACCCUUGACUUGGAUGUUAAGAGUUCCCUAUAAUGAUAAUAGCUACCUUUACUGAGCACUACUUGUUAGCCAGGCAUUGUGCUAAGUGCUUUAUGUGCAUUAUGUUAUGCAAUCCUGCAAAUACCGUUACGGGGCAGGUAAUAUUAUUAAUGCUAUUUUAACAAUGACAAAAGUAACUCACUGAUUAGGACUCUGAGUAGUAUCCAUACCACUGUAAGGAUAACAAAGAGCAAAGGCAGAUUAGGUCCGGCUCUGCUGUUUGUUGGGUGUUUUACUUAGAUUUAACCCCUAGACAAGUCUGAGUCUUGAUAUGGUCUUGCCUAUUACUCUACUUCUUUCUCUGCUGUGCACAGAUGGAGACUGGCAUCUGUAUUAAUACCAGGUUGUGUGCUUAAAGUCCAAUGAAUAGCAUUUUUUUUUUUUUUUGAGAUGGAGUCUCAUUCUGUUGCCCCGGCUGGAGUGCAGUGGUGCGAUCUCUGCUCACUGCAACCUCCGCCUCCCAGGUUCAAGCAAUUCUCCCACGUCAGCCUCCUGAGUAGCUGGGAUUACAGGGGUAUGCCACCAUGCCUGGCUAAUUUUUGCAUUUUUAGUAGAGAUGGGGUUUCACCAUGUUGGCUAGGCUGGUCUCGAACUCCUGACCUCAGGCGAUCCACCUGCCUUGGUCUCCCAAAGAGCUGGGAUUACAGGCGUGAGCCACUGCACUGAGCCCAGUGAAUAGCAUUUAAUAAAUGUUUGUAAAUGCUCUGAAUGUACUAUGAUAAUACAACAAAGUUGUACACAUAAGAUUAUCAUAGCAAAAAAUGGAGAGUAACCUUGGUUACUUCUAUAUAGUUAUUUAAUUUUAAUUUUUUUUUUUGAGAUGGAGCCUUGCUCUGUCACCCAGGCUGGAGUAUAGUGGCGUGAUCUUGGCUCACUGCAACCUCCACCUCCUAGCCUCCUAGGUUCAAGCGAUUCUCCUGCUUCAGCCUCCUGAGUAGCUGGGACUACAGAUAUAUACUACCAUGCCCCUUUAAUUUUUGUAUUUUUGGUAGAGAUGAAGUUUCACCAUUUUGGCCAGGCUGGUCUUGAACUCCUGACCUCAAGUGAUCAGCUCACGUCUGCCUCCCAAAGUGCUGGGAUUACAGGUGUCAGCCACCGUGCCAGGCCAAUUUUUUUUUUUUUUUAGAGACAGAGUCUUGCCUUGUCAGCCAGGUUGGAGUGUAGUGGUAUGAUCACAGCUUAUUGCAACCUCGAACUCUUGGGCUCAAGUGAUCCUCCAGCCUCAGCCUCCCGAGUAGCUAUGGCUACAGGUGCAUACAAUCAAAUGCCUGGCUAAUUAAAAACAUUUUUUUUUCUGUAGAGAUAGUUUCUCGCUAUGUUGUCCAGGCUGGUCUUGAAAUCCUGGCCUCAAGCAAUCCUCCUGCUUCAGCGUGGGAUUACAAGCAUGAGCCACUGUGCCCAGCCUAUACAGCCAUUUAAAAUGAUUGUAUAGCUCUAUAAUAAAUGAAUAACAUACAUACCAUAAUAAAAGAAUAAAGCAGGAUAUGAAGUAGCAUGAUUAAUGGAAUCUCAUUUUUGAAAAUCAAAUAUGUUUAUAUGUACAUAGAAAAAAUAUGGAAGGAUCUACCCCAUAAUGUUAGUUGAGCUCUGAAUGGUAGAUUUAGGAUUUUUUUUUUUUUUUUUUUUUUUUGAGACAGUCUCACUCUGUCACCCAGGCUGGAGUGCAGUGGCGUGGUCUCAGCUCACUGCAACCUCUGCCUCCCGGGUUCAGGUGAUUCUCUUGCCUCAGCCUCUGGAAUAGCUGGGAUUACAGGUGCCCGCCACCACACCUGGCUAAUUUUUGUAUUUUUAGUAGAGACGGGGUUUCUCUAUGUUGGCCAGGCUGGUUUUGAACGGCUGACCUUGUGAUCCGCCUGCCUCAGUUUCCCAAAGUGCUAGGAUUACAGGUGUGAGCCACCAUGCCCUACGAUUUAGGAUGUUUUUUGACUCUGAAAAAGAAAAAUUGUCUGAUUUUUCUUUUUCUGUUUUUAUUUUUACAGUGAGCUGAACACACAUCAUUUUUAUAACUGGGAAAAAUGUGCCACUAUUAUUUUGAAAAUUAAAUUCCUUGGAAAUAAAAAGCUAAACAUUCUACCAUCUUCCAUGUUAUUGUGGGUUUGUAUUUGCUUCUCUAAGAGAGUGAUUAGGAGAUGCUCUGAAGACUCUCAGCACACCAAAAGGAUAGCUAUUCUAAACAUUCCUUUUAGCACCUUCACAUACAUUCAAUGCAUUCCUCAAUGUAUCACCCAAUGCAUUCUUGUUGAAUAAGUGAAUGAGCAUUGAGAAGAAAAUCUGUGAUCAAUAUGCAAAGUGUUGCAAAAGAAGAACACUUUCAUAAGGAUGAGAAGUCAUAACAAUAGAAAAUAAUAACUUUCAAUUUCUUUUUCUUAGAUUCCUGGUAGCUGGAUUAAUUUGUGUUCAAAGUGAUUCACUGAGUCUAGUGAGAUCCUAGAACAAGGUUGGGGCUGUUUAAGUCACUCUAAGAGCUCCCUCCAGACAUUUCUGUCAGCCUGUCUACACCAUAUCUCUUUUCAUUAUUCUUGUUGCCUUUGGUGGCUGUCACAGACAGGAGAGCCAAAUAAUGCUCCUAGCAGCACAUAUCAUUUCUGCUUUGUCCAUCUCUUGCUCACUAUAAUAGGACAUUCUUCUUCCACAGAUAGAACAGAUUUCUGGUUCUUAGAAAGGCUUCCCAACCUCUGCCCAGGCGUUCAUUUUAUUUGUGAUUCAGAGAAUGGCUCUUGGCCAACACAAGAGAAUGCCAAUUCAGGGACUACUGUGGUUUGAAUGUCCCCUCUGAAACUCAUGUUGAAAUCUAAUUGCCAUUGUAAUAGUAUUAACAGUGGGACCUUUAAAAGGUGCUUAGGUCAUGAGGGGUCAUGAUGGAUUAAUGCUGUUGUCACUGGGAGUGGGGUCCCAAUAAAGGGAUGAAAUUUGGCCUGAUUUCCUGUCUCACACAUGAUAAAGGGAUGAUAUUCAGCCUGCUUUCCAGUCUCGCACGCCUGCUUGCCCUUCCGCCAUGUUAUGAUGCAGCCAGAAGGCCCUCACCAGAAGCAGCCCCUCAGCCUUGGACUUCCC
rnacentral:lncRNA from 1 species